rnacentral:rRNA from 1 species
AUACGUAGGUGGCAAGCGUUGUCCGGAUUUACUGGGUGUAAAGGGCGUGUAGGCGGGAGAGCAAGUCAGAUGUGAAAUACCGAAGCUCAACUUCGGGGCUGCAUUUGAAACUGUUCUUCUUGAGUGCAGGAGAGGAAAGCGGAAUUCCUAGUGUAGCGGUGAAAUGCGUAGAUAUUAGGAGGAACACCAGUGGCGAAGGCGGCUUUCUGGACUGUAACUGACGCUGAGGCGCGAAAGCGUGGGUAGCAAACAGGAUUAGAUACCCUGGUAGUCCACGCCGUAAACGAUGGAUACUAGGUGUUGGGGGUAUCGACCCCUCCAGUGCCGGAGUUAACACAAUAAGUAUCCCACCUGGGGAGUACGGCCGCAAGGUUGAA